rnacentral:rRNA from 1 species
ACGCUCGACACCUACGGAGGCAGCAGUCGGGAAUAUUGCGCAAUGGAGGAAACUCUGACGCAGUGACGCCGCGUGCAGGAAGAAGGUUUUCGGAUUGUAAACUGCUUUAGACAGGGAAGAAAGAAAUGACAGUACCUGUAGAAUAAGCUCCGGCUAACUACGUGCAAGCAGCCGCGGUAAUCUGAGCGGGCUGGCAAGGC